AUUCGCUAGUUGCUAGAUGGCGGCUUCGGGAUUUGUUUCUUUCUUCGCUAGAUGGCGAAAAAGUAGGGGAUUCAUUUCUUUCUGCUAGUUCUCCUCAUUCCUCACUCCUCAGUCAGUCAGUUGUUUUCCUAUAUUUUAACUCAUUCACGUACAGUUUACGGCUUUACUUUACUUAACUGUCCAAAGGAGAGAAAUUGUUCGUUAAAUUUUCGGUGCAUUUACUCCAGAAAACUCUUUGUGGAAAUUUUUAUUUGGUAGAGCGAAGCCCAAGAAAUAUCGAAUUAAUACCAUAGUCCCCUAAAAAGUUCUUAAAACACAACUCAAAACACAAACUCAUUAAUUUACUUCUUCAAAUUCUAGAUGCAUACUGCUGUCAGUCAUUCCAACAACUCAACAAGUUGACUUAGCAGCUCAGUCAUUUUCCAUCCAUUAGAUUUUCAUGCUGUCGAAAGCCUAAACUCAUGUUUGAAGCACACAUAUUGUGCUUGUUUAUAGUGGAAUAAAAAUGUGCCGAGAUAAGCCAUAGGAUCUUUUCUGAAUCUUGCAGUUUGGUGGUGUAACCUGCAACAGCAUGUUUGUUGUUAUGGCUGUUUCUACUUCUGUUUAAGAGGCAACCCAGCUGAGGCUGAGGGAUAGGUAGAGUUUAUUUCUCAUAAGUAAAUUUGUAAAUAACAUAGAGAAAUUUGUCCCAUCGCUACUUAUAGUUUCAGUGACAUGAAGAGUGUGAAGUGAAUAACCUGCAAUGUACAUGUACCAGAUCUGUACAUGAAUAUAUGUACAUGAGUGCAGACAUAUCUGCAAACACGAAGGUUAUGAAUUUCGUUCUUGUGUUCAAUGGAGUUAGUGCUGGUUGCAGCUACUGGCCUUUUGUGACGUCUUGAUAUCAGUUUGGAAUAAUAGCUGGACUCUGGGGAAUCCUCACUCACACUCGAGUUGUUUGCACGUAAGCAGCCUGCAGACAGGUCACGAUGAAGGUUACGAGAAACAUUACGUAAAACUGGCAUAUGGUGGUGUAGAGGUUGGGUGAGAAUGACACGUGUUUCAUCAUUCAUCAAGCAGGUACAAUAGCCGCAAGGGUUAAGAGGUGGGUCAGGGCGAGGAAAAAUAGAAUAAAAGGAGAGAGAAAAGUCGAAAGAAAUCAGUCGAAUGAGCAUCUCUGCACGACAACAGUAACUGCAGUCAGUGCAGUGCACUGUUUGUCAUCAACUUUAUUCUUCAUCGUGUUACCAGUUUUCAAUCAUGGGCGUCGUGCUGCUGUUACUACUUACUAGUAGUUACCAACGGCAUUCCUCUCUUAUUAUAAUCAGUUUGAAUCACUCCAGAUUAUUACACCAAACUUAUGCUGCCCCAAGUUAAUACACCAAAUCCCCGAAGUAUUAUUCGUCCCCGAGCUACGCUACCAAGGGGUCAAGUACUACACCGAGGCUCUGAAGUACUACAUAAUCAAGGCACCGGAGUACUACACAACUACGUAUGCUGCCCCAGCUUACUACACCGAGGCUCCCAAGUACUACACCACCAUGGCACUGUUGUACUGCACAACUACAUAUCAUGGUCGUAUAUAAUGGGAAAUAAAUCAGUCGAGUGUGCAUCUCCGAUACGGCAACAGCAACUGCAGUGCUAAGGCUCAGACUAUUACACCACUACUUAUGUUGCCCCGAAAUACUACACCAAAGCGCCUGAGUACAAUACCGAGGCCACUAAUUACUACACCACCAGGGCACCGCAGUACUACAUCACUACACAUCAUGGUCGUAUUAAAGGAGAGAAAAGGUGACGAGUGAGCAACUCCGUUACAGCAACUGCCAUGCACUAUUCAUUCUUGAAUAGUCACCAAUUUCAUUCUUCGUCGCAUUACAAGUUUUAAUAAAGUAAACUAUGGCGUCGUGCUGAAGUUGGGUGUCGUAUCGUUGAUGGCUGGGUCGACCACUGGUGUACCGAUGUUUCCUGGGUAUGGCGGGUACCAAAGCACAACACUGCCGUGCCGUGCAUCCGUUUAUUAUUUCGUGAUCUGUCGUAGUGUAAUGCAAAUGCUCAGUUCUCAACCGGUUUUCCAUCAUGUUUAACAAACUCGAUACUAUUAAAAAUGAUUGCUCUUGGCCGUAAUUUUUCCAUCGGCACUCUCUACAAUCACAUUGAAGACGUCAUUGUACCCAAUAUGCGUCUGUCGGUCUGUGGGAUCCAAGUGAUGUUUCUUGUCUGGCCACUGUCAAAAUAACAGAACGGAAAGAAACUGUCAAAGUUCAUUCAAUUGUGGCCGAGCAAAUGAGUGAAGAAGAAGACGAUAUUGAUGAUGAUGAAUCUGGGACCACCUUGUUGUCUGAUUUGGGAAUGGACAAUCACUCGGCCAUGAGUUUGAUGGCUGGACUGUUACACCCUUCAUUGGCAGGAGCUUGGCAGUACCCGAUCUGAUUCCACAAUGGGAUUGUUUGAUCUCGGCUCUGAAGUGGCAAUCCAUUGUCGUUCCUCCAGCAGGAAAGUCUCAGUCGACCCCACUAGCCUGGAAAUUAUCUGCCGGCCAGAGAGACUCAUCAAGAGCCAGGCCACUCACGUCGUUGUAGCGGUCACUUACGGCCUGGAGGCCUUCUGCAUUUUCUCUCCUCAACUCGGCCCACAUCCGAAAAGUUCCAGGGAGGAAGACGACUACGCCCACUACUUUGCCAACGGACUUUUGAAUGGCCGAAAUCAACUAGAACUGGACGAAGAAGAUGAAGACGGCCGCCUUAUUCCGUUAAACUUGCAGUGCUGGACUUUGAAGGACGUCGGCGAGCAGUACCAAGCCUGCAGGAAAGUCAUGGAUCACCUGGCCAGCACGGCCAUCCCGUUGAGAGUGUGGUUGUACCCUCUUAGAGGGAAAUUGCUCGUUAAAUUGUUGAAAAAGUUGCACCCUUUGAACUCAUUUCUCCAGAAAUUCUUUAUGGACAUUUUUAUUUGGUAGAGCGAACAAGCCCAAGGAAUAUCGAAUUAAUACCACAGGCCCAAUACUAAAAAGUUUCAUAAUCUAUAGAUAACAAAUCAUCUAUAUUUUUU